AUUGAACGCUGGCGGCAGGCUUAACACAUGCAUGUCGAGCGGGGGAAGGUAGCUUGCUACCGGACCUAGCGGCGGACGGGUGAGUAAUGCUUAGGAAUCUGCCUAUUAGUGGGGGACAACAUCUCGAAAGGGAUGCUAAUACUGCAUACGUCCUACGGGAGAAAGCAGGGGAUCUUCGGACCUUGCGCUAAUAGAUGAGCCUAAGUCGGAUUAGCUAGUUGGUGGGGUAAAGGCCUACCAAGGCGACGAUCUGUAGCGGGUCUGAGAGGAUGAUCCGCCACACUGGGACUGAGACACGGACCAGACUCCUACGGGAGGCAGCAGUGGGGAAUAUUGGACAAUGGGGGGAACCCUGAUCCAGCCAUGCCGCGUGUGUGAAGAAGGCCUUAUGGUUGUAAAGCACUUUAAGCGAGGAGGAGGCUACUUUAGUUAAUACCUAGAGAUAGUGGACGUUACUCGCAGAAUAAGCACCGGCUAACUCUGUGCCAGCAGCCGCGGUAA
rnacentral:rRNA from 1 species